rnacentral:pre_miRNA from 1 species
CUAAUACUCCCUCUGUUCGGAAUUACUUGUCGCAGAAAUGGAUGUAUCUAGAUGUAUUUUAGUUCUAGAUACAUCCAUUUCCGAGACAAGUAAUUCCGAACGGAGGGAGUACAAC